UACGUAGGGUGCAAGCGUUAAUCGGAAUUACUGGGCGUAAAGCGUGCGCAGGCGGUUAUGUAAGACAGGUGUGAAAUCCCAGGGCUUAACCUUGGAACUGCAUUUGUGACUGCAUAGCUAGAGUACGGUAGAGGGGGAUGGAAUUCCGCGUGUAGCAGUGAGAUGCGUAGAUAUGCGGAGGAACACCGAUGGCGAAGGCAAUCCCCUGGACCUGUACUGACGCUCAUGCACGAAAGCGUGGGGAGCAAACAGG
rnacentral:rRNA from 1 species